GAUGAACGCUGGCGGCGUGCCUAAUACAUGCAAGUCGAGCGAACAGGCGAGGAGCUUGCUCCUCUGACGUUAGCGGCGGACGGGUGAGUAACACGUGGAUAACCUACCUAUAUUACUGGGAUAACUUCGUGAAACCGGAGCUAAUACCAGAGAAUAUAUUGAACCGCAUGGUUCAAUAGUGAAAGACGGUUUUGCUGUCACUUAUAGACGGAUCCGCGCCGCAUUAGCUAGUUGGUAAGGUAACGGCUUACCAAGGCAACGAUGCGUAGCCGACCUGAGAGGGUGAUCGGCCACACUGGAACUGAGACACGGUCCAGACUCCUACGGGAGGCAGCAGUAGGGAAUCUUGCGCAAUGGGCGAAAGCCUGACGGAGCAACGCCGCGUGAGUGAUGAAGGUCUUCGGAUCGUAAAACUCUGUUAUUAGGGAAGAACAAAUGUGUAAGUAACUAUGCACGUCUUGACGGUACCUAAACAGAAAGCAACGGCUAACUACGUG
rnacentral:rRNA from 1 species